UAUGGCUCAGGAUGAACGCUGGCGGCGUGCUUAACACAUGCAAGUCGAACGAUGAUCCCAGCUUGCUGGGGGAUUAGUGGCGAACGGGUGAGUAACACGUGAGUAACCUGCCCUUGACUCUGGGAUAAGCCUGGGAAACUGGGUCUAAUACCGGAUAUGACUCCUCAUCGCAUGGUGGGGGGUGGAAAGCUUUUGUGGUUUUGGAUGGACUCGCGGCCUAUCAGCUUGUUGGUGGGGUAAUGGCCUACCAAGGCGACGACGGGUAGCCGGCCUGAGAGGGUGACCGGCCACACUGGGACUGAGACACGGCCCAGACUCCUACGGGAGGCAGCAGUGGGGAAUAUUGCACAAUGGGCGCAAGCCUGAUGCAGCGACGCCGCGUGAGGGAUGACGGCCUUCGGGUUGUAAACCUCUUUCAGUAGGGAAGAAGCGUAAGUGACGGUACCUGCAGAAGAAGCGCCGGCUAACUACGUGCCAGCAGCCGCGGUAAUACGUAGGGCGCAAGCGUUAUCCGGAAUUAUUGGGCGUAAAGAGCUCGUAGGCGGUUUGUCGCGUCUGCUGUGAAAGACCGGGGCUCAACUCCGGUUCUGCAGUGGGUACGGGCAGACUAGAGUGCAGUAGGGGAGACUGGAAUUCCUGGUGUAGCGGUGAAAUGCGCAGAUAUCAGGAGGAACACCGAUGGCGAAGGCAGGUCUCUGGGCUGUAACUGACGCUGAGGAGCGAAAGCAUGGGGAGCGAACAGGAUUAGAUACCCUGGUAGUCCCAUGCCGUAAACGUUGGGCACUAGGUGUGGG
rnacentral:rRNA from 1 species